rnacentral:rRNA from 2 species
UGGGGAAUAUUGCACAAUGGGGGAAACCCUGAUGCAGCAACGCCGCGUGAAGGAAGACGGUUUUCGGAUUGUAAACUUCUGUUCUUAGGGAAGAAGAAAGUGACGGUACCUAAGGAGCAAGCCACGGCUAACUACGUGCCAGCAGCCGCGGUAAUACGUAGGUGGCAAGCGUUGUCCGGAAUUACUGGGUGUAAAGGGAGCGCAGGCGGGAAGCCAAGUCAGCUGUGAAAACUACGGGCUUAACUUGUAGACUGCAGUUGAAACUGGUUUUCUUGAGUGAAGUAGAGGUUGGCGGAAUUCCGAGUGUAGCGGUGAAAUGCGUAGAUAUUCGGAGGAACACCGGUGGCGAAGGCGGCCAACUGGGCUUUAACUGACGCUGAGGCUCGAAAGUGUGGGGAGCAAACAGG